GUGACUUUUGCUGGAGAGAUCCCGAAGUGGGUGUGAGGAGGGAAGGAGGGAAGUUGCAAAACUAGGGUUUCUCUCAAAUGUGCUCUAAACUGCGUAGGAAAGGCUGUAAGGGAUCUGGGGCUAAGCCCGCGAAUGAAUCUCCUCUUCCAUCAUACAGCUGUUUGCCCUGCCGGCUGAAAUGGUCCUGAGGCUCAGAGUCUCCCUUCCUGCAGUUGCAGGUUGGGGAACAGCAGAGGAGGAAGAAGUGGCUGAGAUAGGAAAUGAUAAAGGGCAAUAAGGAGGUAAGAAGAGCGACGCUGGAUCAGGCCAGUGGCUUGUCUAGUCCAGCAUCCUGCUCUCUCAGUGGCCAGCCAGAUUCCGGAGGGGAUGCUGCAAGCAGGACCUGAAGGCAAGGGAACUCUCUCCUGGUGCAGCGAUAAAACCACUAGCGCGUUUGCAACGCUAAGCAGGGUCUGGUAUGGUUUCAAACUGGAUGGGGGACCGCGUGUUGAGAUUCCUGCAUUGCCAGGGGUUGGGCUGGAUGACGUUCCGGGUCCCUUCCAACUUUACAAUUCCAUGAUUCCUGCGAUAUCUAGCCACUGGAAUGCGGAGCUAUGCUUUCGGAUUAAUGUAACUGUGGCGUUUGCCUCCUAGGUGCGUCAUUAAGAAAGGGUUAAAUGAGUGAGAAUGUGAUUGGCCAGUGGGAAUGCAAGGCGGGAGUAAAAGUUAGAGUGAGAGGUUUUGAAAGUCAGUUGAGGUUUGGGAAUUGGAGAAGGAAGAGGGAGGAAUAGGCAGUGUAUUGUGAGAGAGUGAGAGGAAUUGUUGGGUGGAGUCAGAUAGAUAGUUGGGGAUAAUCAGUUUGAAGUUGUUAGGAACUAAGAUUAAGAAACUGCCAAGAAAAAUUAACUGUAACCAUAAGCUUGUUCCUGCAUUUAAAAAAUAAACUUGAUUAUCUGUUAAUGU